GGAAGUGUAGCUCAGUGGUAGAGCACGUGCUUAGCAUACACAAGGCCCUGGGUUUGAUCCUCAGCAUCA
rnacentral:tRNA from 1 species